rnacentral:lncRNA from 1 species
GGCGGGCUUCUGUGAGAACCGGGAAGUAACGACUCGGAGAUGGAAUUGUUCAGAGCGGAGACUAGUAGGAAAUUGGGAUUCCAAUUCGACUCCUGAACUCAUACCAUUACUUCCUAACUGGGUCAAAUUAAUCAAACUCUAUGUUUAGCAAACCUCACUUGUGUCAUCUCACUGAUGUUAUCCAUGUUCUCCAAGACAAAAGUGGCCGGACAGGAUUGUCAGCUACAGGAUCUUAAAUGGUAGCUCAUCCACCAGUAGCCAAGAAGGAUGCUUGUAAUGAUGAACUACCACUGUGCUGGAGCAUGAGCAGUAAGACGGCAAAAACAGAAGGCAACGAGAGCAAGAGGACACUUUCUAAAAAGACAAAUAUCACUUCAAACAAUAAAGGCACAGCUCCACAAAACAUUUAUUCAGCAAAGUAACUAUACCAACAGCACAUACUGACAUCGCAACAAACAAUUCUGCAAAGAUCAUCCCUAAUGAACAAGGAAUACUAGCCCCACCGGGGAGGUGGGAAUUCACUCUGACUGGGAGGGCUCCACAGAGGUAGCUGCUUACCCCGGUCUUAAUAGAUGAGGAGGAUUUUACUGGAUAGAUCAAGGAGAAAGCAAAUGUAGGGAGAGGAAAUAGCAUGUGUGGAAGUCCAGAUUCUAAAACAGAAAGAUGUGUCCAAGGACCCUCGACCAGGACUAUGUGGCUGCAUGUGGCUGCAGUGACGUGAGAGAAGCUGGGGUGAGCCUGGGAAGAGUGGCUGGGGUCAG